CCUACGGGGGGCUGCAGUGGGGAAUUUUCCGCAAUGGGCGAAAGCCUGACGGAGCAAUACCGCGUGAGGGAUGAAUGCCUAUGGGUUGUAAACCUCUUUUUUCAAGGAGGAAUAAAAUGACGUGUACUUGAAGAAUAAGCAUCGGCUAACUCCGUGCCAGCAGCCGCGGUAAGACGGGGGAUGCAAGUGUUAUCCGGAAUCACUGGGCGUAAAGCGUCUGUAGGUGGUUAAAUAAGUCAACUGUUAAAUCUUGAGGCUCAACCUCAAAAUCGCAGUCGAAACUGUUUGACUAGAGUAUAGUAGGGGUAAAGGGAAUUUCCAGUGGAGCGGUGAAAUGCGUAGAGAUUGGAAAGAACACCAAUGGCGAAGGCACUUUACUGGGCUAUUACUAACACUGAGAGACGAAAGCUAGGGUAGCAAAUGGGAUUAGAUACCCCUGUAGUC
rnacentral:rRNA from 1 species